GGGGCCAGAGCUCACUGGUGACGUGGUCGUCACGUGACCAGGAGCUGCCUGGAGCAGAAGUACUGCUAGUCGCCUCCGUCUGGGUACCAGCCCCCUAUUACUCUGCAGGCUCGUGAAGGAAGAAGCAAAUUAGCCCGGACCGUGCAGGUUUAUAGAUUUGUUGGCCCGUAGGUCGCUGGAAAAAGUCGUGGCGAGGGAAGGAGCAAACUGCCUUGGGACGUGCAGUUCUCCAAAGCUGGCUAUCUUGUCUUUCCAUCUGUCCUUCUGCUGGAUUGUCCCUCAGUCACUGUGGAAGGAGCAUUGACCACAGAAGACAAGGGAAGAAGAAAGAAUUUACGUGACUUUGAAAGAGGCUGGUGGGAGAGACUAGCUAUUCAUUACAAGAGAGCUACAGGAGCCUGGGAUAGGCUGAAGGCAUCUACCCUCCACCAUUACUCACCCUGGCCAUAAGAACCAUCUUCAAUCAGGUGAAGCAAGGCCCUCUCCUGCCCUGCCCCCAGGCUGGCACAGACUUGAGUAUGGGCCGGGCUCGGGAAGUGGGUUGGAUGGCAGCAGGACUGAUGAUUGGGGCUGGUGCUUGCUACUGUGUUUACAAACUGACUAUAGGAAGAGGUGAUAGUGAGAAGUUGGAGGAGGAAGAAGAGGAAUGGGACGAUGACCAGGAGCUGAAUGAGGCGGAGCCUGAGAUUUGGUUUGAUUUCACAACUAUGGCUAGGCCCUGGAGUGAGGAUGGAGAUUGGACUGAACCUGGGGCCCCUGGUGGCACUGAGGACAGGCCUUCAGGUGGGGGCAAGGCCAACCGAACACACCCAAUAAAACAGCGCCCAUUCCCUUACGAACAUAAAAAUACUUGGAGUGCACAAAGCU